UACAGAGGGUGCAAGCGUUGUUCGGAAUUAUUGGGCGUAAAGGGCGCGUAGGCGGUGCUGUAAGUCUGUGGUGAAAUCUCUGGGCUCAACUCGAGAGUCUGCCAUAGAAAACUGCAGUGCUGGAGUGUGGGAGAGGUGAGUGGAAUUCCCGGUGUAGCGGUGAAAAUGCGUAGAGUAUCGGGAGGAACACCUGUGGCGAAAAGCGGCUCAACUGGACCACAACGUGACGGCUGAGGCG
rnacentral:rRNA from 1 species